GGGACAUGCUGCACAUGGCUUUGACAUUACUAGCUUGUGCUCUUCAUCAAAAUCCACAGAAUGUUAGAGACAUGCAGCAAUACAGGGGAUACCAUUUGCUUGCUCUCUUUUUGCACCGGCGAAUGCCAUUAUUUGACAUGCAAUCACUUGAAAUCUUUUUCCAGAUUGCUGCAUGUGAGGCCUCUUUCUCUGAACCAAAGAAGUUCUAUAGUUCCCAGAAGACACUGCCA
rnacentral:misc_RNA from 1 species